GACGAACGCUGGCGGCGUGCUUAACACAUGCAAGUCGAACGAAGAGCGAUGGAAGCUUGCUUCUAUCAAUCUUAGUGGCGAACGGGUGAGUAACGCGUAAUCAACCUGCCCUUCAGAGGGGGACAACAGUUGGAAACGACUGCUAAUACCGCAUACGAUCUAACCUCGGCAUCGAGGAUAGAUGAAAGGUGGCCGCUACAUGUAAGCUAUCACUGAAGGAGGGGAGUGCGUCUGAUUAGCUCGUUGGAGGGGUAACGGCCCACCAAGGCGAUGAUCAGUAGCCGGGCGGAGAGGAUGAACGGCCACAGUGGGACUGAGACACGGCCCAGACCCCUACGGGAGGCAGCAGUGGGGAAUCUUCCGCAAUGGACGAAAGGCUGACGGAGCAACGCCGCGGGAGUGAGGACGGCCUUCGGGUUGUAAAGCUCUGUUAAUCGGGACGAAAGGCCUUCUUGCGAAUAGUGAGAAGGAUUGACGGUACCGGAAUAGAAAGCCACGGCUAACUACGUG
rnacentral:rRNA from 1 species